GUCCUUUUUUUUCAAAGUCAGUCUUUAUUUCAAAAUCCCGUUUUUCCUGAUGGCCUAUUUAUUUCAUAAUGCGACUUUUCAGCAGAAUGACUUUGUCUGUCAAUCAAGAGAGACAGGGCGGAGCCAGUUGUGUGAUUGGUUGCUCCUUUACUCAGACAUAAGUAAUAGCACAUGAAGUGUCGAUUUAGGUUUAAUGGUGCAAUGCGUCUCCUAUGCAGCCAGCGGCAGUAUGCAGCUCAAAAUAACGUUAAGGCACCGACAAAUGCAAAACACUGGGCGCGAAUAACGUUACAGGUGUAUCAAUGCUUGUGAAGGGCAUGACUGCAGGAGACAAGUCCAUUCUGAGUUACUCAGAGAACUUGCUAACCGCUUAGAUUGUACGUCUUCACCUCAGUUUGAGAGAGUAUUGCAGCAGCGUACUGGAGAUGAUGCGGUCCCUGGUCCAAGUUCUCAUCACAACCGCACAGUGUUAACGUUAGCAAAUGCUAACGCUAUCACAGCUAGCUCCACUCCACGAAAACGCUGUUCAGGGUCAUAACACGAACAAGUCGUCAAGUCAAGCAGCUGAGGAAAGGGCUUAAGGAGACCAUGGUAUGGCCGCUUCUGACAGAAAGAUCAGACAUCAUUCCUCUUUUCUUACCAAGGGAAUCAGAGACUGCUCCCUGUUGUGAGACGCUCUUAAGACUACAAGAUAAGUAAAGCUAUAAAAUGACUGUGGCCUGCCACAGAAGAUGAAGAAGAGGAAUGCUCUCGAGGAUAAAUGCAGAGUGGCAGGUUACCUUCGGUCCUUCACUGAAAAUGCAUCUUGUGCACAACGAAAAGCCCUCAUCAAGUUUUGGACAGGAUGGGAAGUCUUGCCGAGAGAAAUGACUGUGGAAGUGGUCAACAGCAGGCUUCCAAAGUCUUCCACCUGUUUUGACGUACUACGUCUUCCUGCACACUACUGUACCUAUGAGUCAUUUCUAAUGGACAUUCAGGUGUGUCUCAACUCUACUGACUCAGGUUUUGGUCUGGUUUAGGAUUGAUUCCAUAACCACAUGGUAAGAUUAGACCAUUUCUUCUUUCUUGCAUCACAUUACUGUAUUCAGUGUUCAAAGAAACGGACAAUCUAGUGAGUUCUAGUUCCUUUUAAUACACUUGACAGUGAAAAAUGCACAGUACAGGUGAGCAUUUAUGGCUUUUUUUAAUAUAAACUGACAAAGAGUUCAGAAAACAAAAUCAGUUGUUCACUGUACAUUAUAAAUUACACAGUAUGUUUUGUUUAUACUCGCUACUGGUACAAAAAAAUUUUGUAGAAAAAAUUAUUUGAAUUAAGAUGUUACACUACUGUACUGUGUUCAUUGUAUUAAAUCUGCUCAGAGUUGACAUGUACUGUACAUCCAACCAAGAAAUGAAUAUCAUUAAAGUGACAGCUGUGUAAAACAAAUCGUGUUUUAUAGCCACUCUGUUUUGUUGAAAAUGAAAUUGGUUAUGCUGUUUUGAGUCAAUAUUAGCUACAAAGCCAUAGAUGUAGAAAUUUAAAAAAAAAUCCUCCUGACAUAGAAACUGAUUAAAUGUGAUAGUGUCUUUCUACAAGUGAUUUUGAAGUAUGGUUAUGCAAGAAAUAGGGUGUGAACAUAUUGCACCUGCUUACUUUGAAGAGUUAAGGUGUGGUAUCAAACAUAAGUUUGAGUGACUGAA